UUCCAGCUCCAAAAGCGUAUUCAAAUGUUGUUGCAGUUAAAAAGCUCGUAGUUGGAUAUCAGACCAUGUGAAGUUGGCCCGCCGCCUUUGUGCGGUUUGAGUGCUGAUGCAACUGGUCUUUCUCUUCCAGAGAGGGCCUCUCCCCUUAAUUGGUGGUGGGGGUUCCGAUCCGGAUCAGUUACCUUGAAUAAAUUAGAGUGUUCAAAGCAAGCUUACGCUGUGAAUAUUUUAGCAUGGAAUAACGACAUAGGACUUUGUUGUCUAUUUCGUUGGUUUCUAGACUCGAAGUAAUGAUUGAUAGGGACAGUUGGGGGUGCUGGUAUUAUACGGCCAGAGGUGAAAUUCUCAGAUUCGUGUAAGACCAACUCAUGCGAAAGCAUUCACCAAAGAUGUCUUCAUUA
rnacentral:rRNA from 1 species